GUCUCCUGGCUGCAGAGUUGAGCAGCCUGGGGUCACUUCCGCCAUGUCCAUGCGCGUCACCAGGAAGAGAAGGGGAACUCGCUGUCACACGAUGACGUAUUUGUUUUCCCCCAAGUUAAGCUUCACAUGAAACUCCGAACUGGGUGCUUCUCUGUUUUAAGAGGGACAGGGGCACAGGCCUGCUGAAGGCCCACCCCCUCCCAGAAGGACCAGCCUCAACCUUCUGCCUCUAAGGAGCAGAGGGGGCAAGCUGGUGACAGGGUCCACCGCCCCCCACCCAUUUGGCACAUUCAGAAAUGACUGCAAAGCCGGGGGCUCCUGGCCGGCACACAGCGUCACACUGGCAGGGGCGGCUGGGAGCGUCCGGAAGACUCCUUGCUCCAGGGCGGCCGACGGCACUUUGUAAAGGACAGCAGAGCGGGAGAAACCGCCCUCGUCGUGGACCGCAGACACAGUCCUGCCCAGCGUGGCUGCAGAGCCCUAUUCAAACCGCGACGCUGGUGAGGAACGGGGGGAUCGCCACGCGGCCACCUCCUCGUUGAAGUCCUCGUCGGCCCCGAGAAAGUUCAGAAAUUCACCUGAUCUGAGAAAAUGUCAGAGGAAAGUGCCUGAUAACAAAGGAAAGAAACAGAGAGCUGACGGGGGACUUGGCCAGCAGGGACGAACCGUGUUCGCAGGGCUGUGACGUGUCCACUCCCUGGACACACGUUCCACCUGAAGCUGCUACUCCAACCCACGAGGUGCCUCCUGGGACGGCACACGCCCGGCUGUGAGGACCAGGUAACAUUCCACGUGAGGCUCCUACCGUAGCUUCUCCCCGGAGCCAGAAGCCUCUCGCGGGACCACAGCCCUGGCCCCGUGCCCGCUGAGGCUGCGGCCGCAGCCCUGAGAGCAGAGCCGGCGGCUGUGAUGAGACCGUCCGGCCACGGAGUCGAGCAGACUGACCUUCAGAUGCUCCAGAAGCAGCUCUCUCGUUACCCAGAGGACGAGGGGGAGCGUCGUGAGACUUCAUCUGUCCGUCAUCCGGGAGGCUGCGGCAAACCCAGUCCAGUCAACUGAGAUCUCUAGAAAACGCAUGUAAAAGUGGUCAGAACUGCCGCAGUAUUUGAGACGUGAACUCCUCCAGUGCAGAGAGGUUGCGAGCGACAGCCGUGUGCCCGAUGGAGGGGGAGCUCUGGGGAGGAGCCCCUCGAGGCUGGAGAGGAGGUUCAGGGAAGCCGCCUUGACACCUGUUACCAUGUACAGCGUGGAUGAACAGCAGGGUCCUGCUGCACCGCACGGGGGCUGCGUUCACGGCUUGUGGUUCCCUGUAACGAAAAGGAGUGUGUAUAUGUAUUUUUAUGUGUGUGUAUGACUGAAUCACGAUG